CAGACGGCAGUUGGCUUCUGCGACACGAGCAAUUCUGAGCAUUUGUCAUCCGGGUUAGUGAUUUUCUUCAUUCCGCCCCCCCAAAAAAGCUCAACAACUCUAUUUUCUUAAAUUUGAGUCCCCCAAAAUAGUCUUAUACAUGAAGGUGUGUUAUACACGGAAAAAUAUGGUACAUUCCAAUACUACAAAUAUAACAAGGUUACAGUGGUACCUCAGGUUAAGAACUUAAUUAGUUCUGGAGGUCCGUUCUGAACCUGAAAAUGUUCUUAACUUGAGGUAUCACUUUAGCUAAUGGGGCCUCCUGCUGCCGCCACACCGCCGCUGCCCGAUUUCUGUUCUCAUCCUGAAGCAAAGUUCUUAACCUGAGGUGCUAUUUCUGGGUUAGCAGAGUCUGUAACCUGAAGCGUCUGUAACCUGAAGCAUCUGUAACCUGAAGCGUCUGUAACCCGAGGUACCACUGUACUUAAAAAGCAUGCAGCACCAACAGCAAAAAUAACAAGGGAAUUUCUCUUUAGUCCUAGAAACACCCCUCCCUUGAUGUUCCCCAUUGUCCGUCACCUUCAGCAGAUUCUUAUAAGGCUUCCAAAGCAAAGGGUGGGUGGGGGGAGCUAAAAACACCCAUCUCAAGAUGCUGCUUAAUGAGGUUUUCAGUGCAAGCUUGCCAUCCUCUCGCAUUCUCUUUACUCAAGCAUCAGGGAGGGACCACUUAGCACUCAAAAUUUUGCUCGGUGUCCUGGAUUAUAUGGAUUGCUGUGGGCAAGUCACACUUUUACAGACAUUUUCCUUUGCUCCCUGUACUGCCACUGAACCACAUAUAAAUCCUUCUUUCAACUGCGCAUUUUAUUCCAGAAAUGCAUAUUCUUUUGACCUGGCCACAGUGACCCAUGCGACGGUCACCUCCAGGCUUGACUACUGUAAUUUGCUCUAUGCGGGGCUGCCCUUGAAGCUGUCCCAGAAACUCCAGCGGAUGCAGAAUGCUGCAGCAAGGCUCCUCAUGGGGUCUCUGCCAUGGAAGCAUAUUCACCCAGUGCUUUUCCAGCUGCACUGGCUCCCGGUGGAGUACAGGGUCAGAUUUAAGGUGCUGGUUUUGACCAUUAAAGCCCUUCACAACUUAGGACCCUCGUACCUACGGGACCGCCUCUCCCCGUAUUCCCCACGGAGAGCCUCAAGGUCCAUAAACAGCAACACCCUAGUGGUCCCAGACCCUAAGGAAGUUAGAUUAGCUUCAACCAGAGCCAGGGCCUUUUCAACUCUGGCUCCGACCUGGUGGAAUGCUCUGUCCCAGGAGACCAGGGCCCUGCAGGAUCUGAUUUCUUUCCGCAGGGCCUGUAAGACAGAGUUGUUCCACCUGGCCUUUGGCUUGGAGUCAAUUUGAUUCCCUCCCUCUCUUUCUUUUUUCUUUUCCUUUCUCCUCCUGUGAUGAGGCUACAUUUUAAUAUUUUAAUGUUUCAAUAUUUUAAUGUUGUAUUUUAAUUUUGUUUUUAAGUUGUAAUCAUUCAACUUGUUUUUAUUAUUGCUUGUAAGCCGCCCUGAGCCCGGCCUUGGCUGGGGAGGGCGGGGUAUAAAUAAAUAUGAUGAUGAUGAUGAUGAUGAUGAUGAUGAUGAUUACAGGAAAUGGCCGUGUGUGUUCAUCGGCUGAAGUAUAACAUUCAUGUUAAUUUAUGUUGAAAUGUUUGUAGUAAAGGGGUGGAAUUCAACACUGUGCUAUUUUAAAGCAGGUGGGUGUAGAGCACAAGCUAUGAUCAUGUUGCUACUGGAUUUGAUAGAACAAAUCCCAAUUUUUCUUCCCCACCCCACCCCCUGGUUCCAUGGCACAUUUUUAAAAUUAUGCACUAGAACAAUUUUGUGAUAAUCUUUGAAAAAAACAUAUAUUUCUUUCCUGACCAUUCAUUUUCAGAUAAGACGUUUGCAUGAGAAUUAUGUUGCACAUUUGAUAUACAUAUCUUCUCCAGAGAGGAGUUUAAUCCAGAGCUGCCAGAACUGCACAAAUGUAGGUUAGUCACAAAUAUCUGAAAUAAUUUGAAUGAAAAAUUGAUGGCUGUCUGGUAAAGAGUUAUAGAAAUCAGGGAGAAAGAAAUGUAGGUUAGCCUAGACUGCUAAACAAUCUACUUUUUCUCCUCCACAAUGAUCCCUCCCCCC
rnacentral:lncRNA from 1 species